rnacentral:rRNA from 1 species
AACGAACGCUGGCGGCAGGCUUAACACAUGCAAGUCGAACGCCCCGCAAGGGGAGUUGCAGACGUGUGAGUAACGCGUGGGAACAUACCCUUUUCUACGUAAUCUCUCUGGGAAACUGGGAUUAAUACCGUAUACGCCCUACAGUGGAAAGAUUUAUCUGGGAAGGAUUGGCCCGCGUUUGAUUGGCUAGUUUGUGGGGUAAAGUCCUACCAAGGCGACGAUCCAUAGCUGGUCUGAGAGGAUGAUCAGCCACAUUGGGACUGAGACGCGGCACAAACUCCUACGGGAGGCAGCAGUGGGGAAUAGUGGACAAUGGGCGCAAGCCUGAUCCAGCCAUGCCGCGUGAGUGAUGAAGGCCUUAGGGUUGUAAAGCUCUAUCACCGAUGAAGAUAAUGACGGUAGUCGGAGAAGAAGCCCCGGCUAACUUCGUG